AUGCUUGCUGCAGUUAAGCUCGUAGUCGACUUCGGGCUUGCCCCGGCGGUCCGCCUCUGGUGUGCACUGURGGGKUKGCCUUUCUGUCGGGGACGGGCUCCUGGGCUUAACUGUCUGGGACCCGGGCUCGGCGAGGUUACUUUGAGUAAAUUAGAGUGUUCAAAGCAGGCGAUCGCCCUGAAUACAUUAGCAUGGAAUAGCACGAUAGGACUCUGGCCUAUCUUGCUGGUCUGUAGGACCGGAGUAAUGAUUAAGAGGGACAGUCGGGGGCAUUCGUAUUUCUGGGUCAGAGGUGAAAUUCUUGGAUUCCAGAAAGACGGACCACUGCGAAAGCAUUUGCCAAGGAUGUUUUCAUUGAUCAAGAACGAAAGUUGGGGGCUCGAAG
rnacentral:rRNA from 1 species